UACAGAGGUCUCAAGCGUUGUUCGGAUUCAUUGGGCGUAAAGGGUGCGUAGGUGGCGCGUUAAGUCAGGUGUGAAAUUUUGGAGCUUAACUCCGAAACUGCAUUUGAUACUGGCGUGCUUGAGGACUGGAGAGGAGACUGGAAUUCAUGGUGUAGCAGUGAAAUGCGUAGAGAUCAUGAGGAAGACCAGUGGCGAAGGCGGGUCUCUGGACAGUUCCUGACACUGAGGCACGAAGGCCAGGGGAGCAAACGGG
rnacentral:rRNA from 1 species